rnacentral:lncRNA from 1 species
UGAAUUAAUAGGUGUACAAGACUAAAUAACAGGAGAAUGGUGAAGUUGACAAGUACAAGGUGCGGUUAGUAGCUAAAGGAUACAAAUAAGAGUUUGGCGUGGAUUACAAAGAAGUUUUCGGUCCUGUGGCUAGUCACGACACAAUUAGUGUGACGCCCCCAAAAUAGGUAUACAUCACUCAUUCUGAGUCGCCAAAUACAUGGUACAGAAUUCAAAUACAAACUUAAUUAAUACAACUAUCGUGUAAAAUAAGACAAAACAUAGUUGAGUUUUUACACGAAUAUUGUCUCAUAGACAAUAUCCAAACUCAAAUUCAAUCCUCAUUACAUUUAUUAUCACACUAAAUAGUGAGGACUACUAAAACAACCAUCUCGAACCAUCACUCCAUUCUCCGACUAGUCCCGGCUACGUUCUCAUUUCCUGAAGAGAACAAUGAAAGCAAAAGGGUGAGCUCAACUAGCCUAGUAAGAAAUAUUAUGACUAAGAUAAUGCAGAAUAAAUUAUCGUUAGCCUUCAACAAUGUUAAACUGAUAAAAUAUAAUAAACAUCAAGUUUAACUGCAGCGGAACAAGAAAUUCAUUAGAAGUGUCAAGUAUAGCAUGAUAUCUACUAUCUUCUAUGAUUUAAAAAGUUUAUCAUCAAUUUUAUCGCCGAGACUCAGCUUAAUAAAUAAUCCACAUCAUCGAAUCAUCCCUGCACUACGGGCCAAUGAUAUUCAUUAGUAUCACGUCCACGAAUUAUCCAUGCACUACGGGCCAAGGAUAUUCGUGUAAUCAUCAAUAAUCAUGAUCAUGCCAAUAAUUAUCCAUCAAUGCACUACGUGUCAAUGAUGACUUUUAUCAUUUGUAACAUUACAGGUCAUGAUUAUACUGAAUGAUCCCUGUUCAUAAUCAUACCGAUCAACAGUCCAUCUAUAUAUGCACUACGGGCCAAAGAUGACUUUCAUUACAAUAUAAGCAUGAGGAUGAUGAAAAUGAUAUAAGAUUCAAUUAAAUGAAAGCAAAUGAUAAAUUUUAAAGAUUUAUAAUUUAAUUUAUUCAGAAUUCAAUAAUGUCCAAAAUUGAUAACAUGAUACUACUUUGUGGAGUAAAAUUCUACAAUAAUAUUGUAUCAAAAAUGUUUUGAACCGAAAAAAAUUAAUUUUUGUCAUGAAUAGUACCCCGGGUGAAUAGUACCCGAGUGAAUAGUACUCCAACAUGAAAAAGUUAAAACUUAUCAAGAAUGCUCAGAAUAAUAUUUUCAUGAAAAGAUAUUGGAUGAAGCGUAAAUUUCAAGGAUAUUUUACUAAUUUUAUGGAGUAUAGAAGCCAAAACUUAACAAAAUGAGUGUAGAAUUCAGAAUCUAAAACGAAAUAAUAUUACUUACAUACUACAGAGUAUGGAAGAAAAUAUUAUUUCUUACGAAUAUUGAACAAAAAUAAUAUCCCUUAGCUUAAAAAGAAGAGUAUUCCAACUGGUAUAACGGAAAUUGUAACGCCCCAAAAAUCGGGACUAUUUUACUUCCCGAUCUUGUGCGUUAAUAUUAUCAUGUUCUAGAUUUAAAACAUUAUUUAAUGUUAAAAUAGCUAAAAUGCGGAAUAAAUUUUUCUUUUCUUUUCUUUCCAUUCAUUCAUUCAUUCUCUGAAUCGCAACCUUUACAAUUCUUCUUCAUACUAGAAUUAUAUUUAUUAUAUGACUUAUUUAGCUUGAGUAGAUAGGAAUAUAUAUACAAUUCAUUCUUUCAAGCAUAUCUCCUCUUUAGAACAAAUAAUCUUCAUCUAUCGAAUAAUUUAAAAUUUUACACGUCUGUGAUUUACACAUGAAAAUAUCAUCAAAUGACUCAACACAAUCUCAAUUAAAUCACUAGUCUUCUUUUCAUGCGCUCCUAAUCACGAUAGAUCGCAUCAUAGCUUUAACCUGCAAAUUAAGCAAGAUUGAGCACUACGGCCCAACAAGUCUAACAGUUUUCAUGCUUCACAUAGCACAUAAUAUCAUGCUUAUAUCAUAUCUCAAGAUUUUUACAAUUUAAAUAACAUUUGUAUCUCACAUAUAUCAAAUAUCAAACCAAGACUGAGUUUCAAAAACUCAAUCACAUUUAGUCAAUAGUUGACUUUCAUCAUUCCACAAGUAUAACAUGUAAUCCAUGUAAUCAUGUCAAAUUCAUAUAACAAAUAGGAACUGGAAAAACUUGCCUCUUUGAUGCGAAGCUAUUAAUUUCACGCGAUUACACGUAUUCGAAGUAUUAUGCUCCUGUAUAUCACCAAUAUACACAUAAUGUUAUUACAAUGUAUAACAUUACCAUAUUCUACAAAUUCUAUUUAAACUUGUGUUUUGCAAGUCUAAUAUCUCAUUCUUAACUUCUCUUAUUUUAAUAAGUUUGCUACAUAUGUAUGGGGUAUAAACAUUAUUAGCUUUUACUAGGUUAAUAAAUAGACCCACUUCUUUUUUUUUUUAAUUUUUUUUUCUAUUCACAGCUAACUGCUGCUACUAAUCGUUACUGCCUUUUAGCAACAGUCCUUUACUGUUAACUGCUACUGCACUUAGGCAGCAGCUCCUUAUUCCUGGCUCAUCAUUUCAUGCCUUUAUACCCUUUACAAAAAUCUUUUAAUAUCUUUUAAGAUGAUACAUUCAUUUAAGAUAGAGUAUCAACAACUAAACUCUAUACAGCCACACAUAUACAUUGCCUAAUAGCCCAAAAGGGAACUCCCAGCUCUUGCCCCUUAAGCUUAUUGCUGCUGCCAAGGAAGUAGCCUUACACACUGCCAACCAAAAAUUAUAACUCGUGUUAACUUGUAUAUACAUAUGCUUACUAUUUUGGUUUUCAAUUCAAAGCAGCUUCACCAAGCAUCCUCAACACAAUAAAAGUAGCUCAACAUUUUAGCCACAAAAAAGAGUAACUGCAGCAGCACAACGUACUCAGCAGUGCGCUGGUGCGCGACUGCAACUGCUGCUGGCAGCAGUUGCUCAAACCCAACAGCCCGUUUUGCGGCCUUAUAACUUUUAGCUCGUAUACCAAAUUAAAGCAAACUCUAAGUAUGUUAUACAUACCAUAUGAGUCUGUAUUUAGAGGUUAUAACCUCUUCAUUUCAGGUUUUAUACGAUGUCCAAAACAGUGUUCAUACAUGCUUUGCUGCACUAAAUUUUUCUUACUUUCGUUUUGCCUAGAAAUUGCUUUUCGCUCUAAUCUAGUACCUUCAAACUUGGGCAGCAUUAAGAUUGUAUUUCAUAGUAUUUUAGAAAAAUAUAACUCUUCUAAUUUGGGCAUCCUAGACAGGUUAAACAGAGCGCUAAAACUGCCUUGUCGAAACAGUUUUUAAUUUUUUUCCAACUGUACCCUCUCUUGCUCAAACAGCCAUAACUUUUUCGUUUCAAAACAUUUUUGAGCGAUUCUUGAGCCCACGCGAAGCUAACUUCCGGGGCUACAACUUUUAUUCUUUGACCAUUUUCAAAUUCGUAACACAAAAUUCCAGAAAAUUCGUGCAAGGGGACUGCUCCGAAUUUGUUAGACAGAUUUAACGCCAUUGCUUUGAACGGGCAUAACUCGUUGCUCCGAAGUCGGAAUUAGUCCGUUCCGGAGUCUUUGGAAAGCUUAUUCAGUGUACUAUAACAUACCAAAAGCCCAGAAUUUUUUGAACAUCCUAGCUAACCCCGAAUUUUCAUUUUAGGGUCAGCAGUUCACAAUUUUUCGGUUUCUAACAUGUUUAUUUCACAACCUUAUUACUUCUAGCUCAUAUACUAAAUUAGAACAAAUUUUAAAUAUGUUUUACAUAGCAUAUGAGACUGCAUUUAAAAGUUAUAACCUUUCCAUUUCAGCUUCAAUAAGCUGCCCAAAACAGAGUUUCCAAAUGACUUGACAUACUAACUCUAACUUUUCAUUGUUAACUAGAAAUUGAGCUUUGUUCUAGCUUGACACACUCAAACCCUCUAGUUAACAUCACAUAUGAUUAAUAAAUCAAUCCCAAGCUCUAAUUCUACCAAAGUUCUGAUUUUAGAUAAAAACAGUUCAUUGAAGCAUUUUAACAAACACCUUACGUACACAGUUUUAAAACACUCUUUUCAUAGCUAUUGGUUUGUUUUAGAAACCCAGUUUAGCUCCCUUAUUGCUCCACACAACCCAGCCUAUUCUCCUUUGUUCUAUUCCAUACAUAACAGUAAAAUAGCUUAACAAGAAUCAUGCAUAACAGUUAACAUAGCAACUAAAAUCAAUAUAGCAGUCAUUCAAGUCUGUUUCAGGCCAUUCGGCAAUUACAGUCCACUAGUAGCAAGAAAAAUGGAAUGGAAAGGAUUAGAAAGAGCUUACCUUGAUAGUUCAAAGAUUACAAUUGAUUGCUGUUCAAUCUCUUCUCCUUCUCAGUCGUUGCCUUACUGUUCUAUCUUUGUGACUACUAUACUUUGGAGCUCAGUGAAGUGGUAGGACUAACUGAGCUUGAGGUUCAUUAUAUGGCCAUAAAUGGUUGAGUUUCCUUCUCUCUCAUCAAUCUACAUGACCCCUAGCUUAUAUCUUAUUUCACAUAGCACUCCAUUACACCUAGCAGUCAGACUGCUUCUGCAGUGGCUCCUAAUAAGCUCUCUAGCAAGCCUACUUGACCCUUUGCAGUCUACUUGCCCCUUGUAUUUUGGCUUCUAGCAACUCAAUAAUGCACCUUAGCCUCUAACUAAUUACUAACCAAUUAACUGAUCACUCUCUUGGAACUAAAU